rnacentral:rRNA from 1 species
AUUGAACGCUGGCGGCAGGCCUAACACAUGCAAGUCGAACGAGUGGCGGACGGGUGAGUAAUGUCUGGGAAACUGCCUGAUGGAGGGGGAUAACUACUGGAAACGGUAGCUAAUACCGCAUACCAUCGGAUGUGCCCAGAUGGGAUUAGCUAGUAGGUGGGGUAACGGCUCACCUAGGCGACGAUCCCUAGCUGGUCUGAGAGGAUGACCAGACACACUGGAACGGAGACACGGGCCAGACUACUACGUGAGGCAGCAGUGGGGAAUAUUGCACAAUGGGCGAAAGCCUGAUGCAGCCAUGCCGCGUGUAUGAAGAAGGCCUUCGGGUUGUAAAGUUCUUUCGGCGGGGAGGCGUUACCCGCAGAGGAAGCACCGGCUAACUCCGUGCCAGCAGCCGCGGUAAUUC